rnacentral:rRNA from 1 species
UACGGGGGGGCAAGCGUUGUUCGGAAUUAUUGGGCGUAAAAGGGCGCGUAGGCGGUUAGAUAAGUCGGCUGUGAAAACCUCGGGCUUAAACUCGAGGCCUGCAGUUGAAACUGUCUAGCUGGAGUGUGGGAGAGGAGAGUGGAAUUCCCGGUGUAGCGGUGAAAUGCGUAGAUAUCGAGAGGAACACCUGAGGUGAAGACGGGGUUGCUGGGCCAACACUGACGCUGAGGCGCGAAAGCCAGGGGAGCAAACGGGG